AGACGCCCUGCGGCCGCUUUGCCUGACCAAAGUCUGUGGGCGUGGAACAGGCCCUGGGUUCUCCUACUGGGAAGAAUGAAGUUCAGGUACUCCAUGUGAUAUAUGGUUCCACAAUCCUCAGCGUGUUAACUGAAGCCUUGUUGAGUUUAACAAAGCUGCCAUUGAAGAUCUGGGGAAAGUGAAGAAGUUGCAACAGAGUUUUGGGCUCACACCAUUGAUACAUUUGAUCCUUAAGGCCCACCCCGCCUCACUCCCACCCUCUUCUACUUAAUUCAGGAUGUGAAUAGCACAUGCCUUCCAUCUUCAGACAAACACUGAGGCCUGGACAAUGACCUGCAUUAGGUAGAUAGAAUCUACUGAAAGCUAAAAG
rnacentral:lncRNA from 1 species